ensembl:rRNA 5S_rRNA 5S ribosomal RNA
AUCUCUGGCCAUACCACCCUGAACGCUCCCAGUCUUGUCUGUUCUUAGAAGGUAAGGAGGGUUGGGCCUGCUUAGUACUUGGAUAGGAGACAGCCUGAGAAUACUGGGUGCUGUAAGCU